rnacentral:lncRNA from 1 species
AUGGAGCAAACAGACUGCAAACCUUAUCAGCCUCUGUCCAAAGUCAAGCAUGAAAUGGAUCUAGCUUAUACCAGUUCUUCUGAUGAGAGUGAAGAUGGGAGAAAACCAAGGCAGUCAUUCAACUCCAGAGAAACUCUGCAUGAGUAUAACCAGGAGCUGAGGAGGAAUUACAAUAGCCAGAGUCGAAAGAGGAAAGAUGUGGAGAAAUCUACUCAAGAGAUAGAAUUCUGUGAAACACCUCCUACUUUGUGCUCUGGCUACCAGACAGACAUGCACAGUGUUUCUCGGCAUGGCUACCAGCUGGAGAUGGGAUCUGAUGUGGACACAGAGACAGAAGGUGCUGCAUCACCUGACCAUGCACUCAGAAUGUGGAUAAGAGGCAUGAAGUCAGAACAUAGUUCCUGUCUGUCCAGCAGGGCCAACUCUGCAUUGUCCUUGACUGACACUGACCAUGAACGGAAGUCUGAUGGGGAAAAUGGUUUUAAAUUCUCUCCUGUUUGUUGUGAUAUGGAGGCUCCAGCUGAUUCUGCUCAAGGCAAGUGUUUCCAAAUAUUCGACGCCAAGUUGUUUUUACCUCAAUCAAUCAUGACAGGUGCCUAGUCCACAAAAUAGACUCUGACAGACUAACAAACAACACAUGAGGCUGAACAAUGGAAUUGUCAGAGAUUAGUCUUGUGCCUUUAAUGUGUAUAUUUCACUUGCAGUUAGGAA